UACAGAGGUCUCGAGCGUUAGGCGGAAUCACUGGGCUUAAAGCGUGUGUAGGCGGAUCGUUAAGUACCUUGUGAAAUCCCACGGCUUAACCGUGGAACUGCUUGGUAUACUGGCGGUCUUGAGCCAGCUAGGGGCUACCGGAACAAAUGGUGGAGCGGCGAAAUGCGUAGAUAUCAUUUGGAACGCCAAUGGUGAAAACAGGUAGCUGGGGCUGUGCUGACGCUGAGACACGAAAGCCAGGGGAGCAAACGGG
rnacentral:rRNA from 1 species